rnacentral:rRNA from 1 species
AAUGAACGCUGGCGGCAGGCCUAAAACAUGCAAGUCGAACGCCGUAACAAUACGGAGUGGCGCACGGGUGAGUAACACGUGGGAAUAUGCCUUUUGGUACGGAACAACUUUUGGAAACGAAAGCUAAUACCGUAUGGUCCCUUCGGGGUAAAGAUUUAUCGCCAAAAGAUUAGCCCGCGCUGGAUUAGCUAGUUGGUGAGGUAAUGGCUCACCAAGGCGACGAUCCAUAGCUGGUCUUAGAGGACGAGCAGCCACACUGGGACUGAGACACGGCCCAGACUCCUACGGGAGGCAGCAGUUAGGAAUAUUGGACAAUGGGCGCAAGCCUGAUCCAGCCAUGCCGCGUGAGUGAUGAAGGCCUUCGGGUUGUAAAGCUCUUUAGCCGAUGAAUAUAAUGACUGUAGUCGGAAAAUAAGCCCCGGCUAACUUCGUGCCAGCCGCCGCCGUAAAAC